rnacentral:misc_RNA from 1 species
AAGUCGUAACAAGGUUUCCGUAGGUGAACCUGCGGAAGGAUCAUUAUUGAAGUUGAACCACUGGUUGUUGCUGGCUCUUAGGAGCAUGUGCACGCUGGUAUCGCUUUACUUUUCCCCUUUGUGCACCUUUGGCUAGUUCACAUGUGUGGUUUCAGAAAGUGAGAGACUUAGUGCUUACGCAUUAUAACUUGUUGAUCUUUUCGCCUUGAUAAGUUUAGAGCUUUGCGCCUUAGCUUUGCUUGUUGACAACUUGGAUAGGUUUACUACUAGUGUUCUAUGCACCCUUUAUAAACGUAUGUCUAAGAAUGUCAUUGUUUACUAGGUCUCAGUACCUGUAAAUCAUCUAUACAACUUUUAGCAACGGAUCUCUUGGCUCUC